UACGUAGGGUGCGAGCGUUGUCCGGAAUUACUGGGCGUAAAGAGCUCGUAGGUGGUUUGUCGCGUUGUUCGUGAAAACUCACAGCUUAACUGUGGGCGUGCGGGCGAUACGGGCAGACUGGAGUACUGCAGGGGAGACUGGAAUUCCUGGUGUAGCGGUGGAAUGCGCAGAUAUCAGGAGGAACACCGGUGGCGAAGGCGGGUCUCUGGGCAGUAACUGACGCUGAGGAGCGAAAAGCGUGGGGAGCGAACAGG
rnacentral:rRNA from 1 species